rnacentral:rRNA from 1 species
UACAAUGGAGAGUUUGAUCCUGGCUCAGGAUGAACGCUAGCGGCAGGCUUAAUACAUGCAAGUCGAGGGGCAGCACGGGUAGCAAUACUGGGUGGCGACCGGCAAACGGGUGCGGAACACGUACAGAACCUUCCUUUAAGUGGGGGAUAGCCCAGAGAAAUUUGGAUUAAUACCCCGUAACAUUAUGAAGUGGCAUCA